AGAAACACAUUAGAAGUUCACGCUUUUCCGUUCUUAAAAACAUGACAUCAGUGACGGCUGUUAUUACUGAGGUGCUCAACAUCCCUAUCAAACCUGUAUUAGAUUCUCAGUGUGGAGGAGCUUGCUAGCUGUAAGAAGGCAUUACAGAGGCUGCUGGGUAAAGUCUAUUAACCAGUCAUAAUCCGAGAACUGCUUAUGUUGCAGGGAGGACCAAAACAGGUGAAAGCAUAUGCAGGGAACGGCUCCAGACAGCCUCUAGCCCAGGCCCACCCCUGGCUCAGGCGCCUGUGUGGACAGCUGCUCUCAGAGUGACUGAUGCAGCCAAAUGGAGUUCAGGCUGUAGUCAGGGGGAUUCUGGAAGGAGCUGGAGAUGGGGCAGCAGGAUGUCAGGAUGCUGAAGCUGCUGCUGCUGAUUGGAGGAAAUGUGAUUCUAUUGCACGGAUACUGGCCUUGUGUCCCCAGCAGUCCCUUUCAUUGAUUGACUAUUACAGGAGCGGUGUUUCCUCAGGUGCUGGAUUUGCUGCACAUCAGGGUCAGGCUGACAGCUCAACAGUUUCAGCGUGUUGCCACCACCACUGUGCUCACCCUGGUGCAGGAGCAGCCAGAGCUUGCUGAGAAGUACCUGCCCCAUUACUGAGCCCUCUCACAGGAGGUAUGGGGCACAUUUCAAACUUCUGCAAUGAACACCCCAUUGGCUACAUAUAGGCGUAAUUGGCUACACUCUGCCAAUUACGCCUAUACUUCCAUUGCCAUACUGCAGUUCUAACUCACCCCAGUGAUUGUAGCUAACAGAAUAAUUGUAUACAUCUUACCUGUUAUGCACAUCCAUUCAUUAUAUAGGACUAGUGAAAGAAACACAUGUUCUAAUAAACAUCUAUUUUUUAUUUAAAAAAGAUUAUAUCUAGUACUAAACUAGGUUAAAUAAAUUUCUGUUUGCAAGCCAUGAUUGUGCUUCCUUUGUCAUUUCACCUGGAGAGUGAAAUGGUCCUCACCUCUUCAAAGUCUUUUUUACUGUAAAUAACCAACCAGUUGAUCCCUCUGUUAACUGCCAUACUGUGAGGUAACAUGCAUAA